UACGAAGGGUGCAAGCGUUGUUCGGAUUUAUUGGGCGUAAAGCGCGUGCAGGCGGAUUUAUAAGUCAGGUGUGAAAUCUCGGGGCUCAACCUCGAAACUGCGCCUGAAACUGUUUAUCUUGAAUAUUGGAGAGGGGAAUGGAAUUUCGCAUGUAGGAGUAAAAUCCGUAGAGAUGCGAAGGAACACCAGAGGCGAAGGCGGUUCCCUGGCCAAUUAUUGACGCUGAGACGCGAAAGCGUGGGUAGCGAACAGG
rnacentral:rRNA from 1 species